rnacentral:misc_RNA from 1 species
GAUGAAGAACGUAGCGAAAUGCGAUAAGUAAUGUGAAUUGCAGAAUUCAGUGAAUCAUCGAAUCUUUGAACGCACAUUGCGCCCCUUGGUAUUCCGGGGGGCAUGUCUGUUCGAGCGUCAUUAUAACCCCUCAAGCUCAGCUUGGUGUUGGGGCCUGCCAACUGGCAGCCCUUAAAAUCAGUGGCGGCGCCAUCUGGCUCUAAGCGUAGUAAUUUCUCUCGCUAUAGGGUCCCGGUGGAUGCUUGCCAACAACCCCCAAUUUUCUAUGGUUGACCUCGGAUCAGGUAGGGAUACCCGCUGAACUUAAGCAUAUCAAUAAGCGGAGGA